rnacentral:rRNA from 1 species
UUAUAGCUUGCUAUGAUGAAAAUUAGUGGCAGACGGGUGAGUAAUGCAUAGGAAUCUACCUAGUAGUAUGGGAUAGCCACUAGAAAUGGUGGGUAAUACUGUAUAAUCCCUGCGGGGGAAAGAUUUAUCGCUAUUAGAUGAGCCUAUGUUAGAUUAGCUAGUUGGUAGGGUAAAGGCCUACCAAGGCAGUGAUCUAUAGCUGGUCUGAGAGGAUGAUCAGCCACACUGGAACUGAGAUACGGUCCAGACUCCUACGGGAGGCAGCAGUGGGGAAUAUUGGACAAUGGGCGCAAGCCUGAUCCAGCUAUGCCGCGUGAGUGAGGAAGGCCUUAGGGUUGUAAAACUCUUUCAGUGGGGAAGAUAAUGACGGUACCCACAGAAGAAGUCCCGGCAAACUCCGUGCCAGCAGCCGCGGUAAUACGGAGGGGGCAAGCGUUGUUCGGAAUUAUUGGGCGUAAAGGGCAUGUAGGCGGUUCGGUAAGUUAAAGGUGAAAUGC